rnacentral:lncRNA from 1 species
GGAAGACUGAAUACAGAGUCGUCAACCUUCAAGAGCAGAAAAAAUCUUGAGGAAAACUUCCAAAGUAUUCGUUUGACUCCUAUGAAGAAAACCCAAAGUAGUAUUUCAAAUAUAGAUGACAACUUCAACAAAAAUAUUAAUUUCCAAGAAAAAUAUAACUUAAUACCUACAUACACAAAAACUCUCCAAACAAACCAAGACACACACUUGAGGAAACAAACAGUCAAAGAGAGACACUACACAGAAUAUCAAGGCUUGAAUGAGAAAAAUAAAUAUUCAUUUGAUGAAGGUGAGGUAAGUUGUGAGGCCAGAUAAUACCCUUACAUAUUUGCAUAAAAAUCCAAAUUAAA